UACGAAGGGGGCUAGCGUUGCUCGGAAUCACUGGGCGUAAAGGGUGCGUAGGCGGGUCUUUUAAGUCAGGGGUGAAAUCCUGGAGCUCAACUCCAGAACUGCCUUUGAUACUGAAGAUCUUGAGUUCGGGAGAGGUGAGUGGAACUGCGAGUGUAGAGGUGAAAAUUCGUAGAUAUUCGCAAAGAACACCAGUGGCGAAGGCGGCUCACUGGCCCCGAUACUGACGCUGAGGCACGAAAAGCGUGGGGGAGCAAACAGG
rnacentral:rRNA from 1 species